rnacentral:rRNA from 1 species
UGGGGAAUUUUGGACAAUGGGGGAAACCCUGAUCCAGCCAUCACGCGUGUGCGAUGAGGGCCUUCGGGUUGUAAAGCACUUUUGGCAGGAAAGAAACGUCAUGGGUUAAUACCCCGUGAAACUGACGGUACCUGCAGAAUAAGCACCGGCUAACUACGUGCCAGCAGCCGCGGUAAUACGUAGGGUGCAAGCGUUAAUCGGAAUUACUGGGCGUAAAGCGUGCGCAGGCGGUUCGGAAAGAAAGAUGUGAAAUCCCAGAGCUCAACUUUGGAACUGCAUUUUUAACUACCGGGCUAGAGUGUGUCAGAGGGAGGUGGAAUUCCGCGUGUAGCAGUGAAAUGCGUAGAUAUGCGGAGGAACACCGAUGGCGAAGGCAGCCUCCUGGGAUAACACUGACGCUCAUGCACGAAAGCGUGGGGAGCAAACAGG